rnacentral:lncRNA from 1 species
UUUUUUUUUUUUUUUUUGCCCCAAGAAAAUGUUCACCCAGUGAUCUUGGGCUGGGAUUGUCUUUAGGAAAAGUUGAGACUGUAAGAGUCAUAAAUAAGUCCUUGUGUUUCCUUAAUUUAUUUUGUUAACACCCCUAAUUACUGAAACCAAAGUGAUGAUGUGGAGUCUUCUGUCUUCAUUUUGGCCCCAGCAUUCUUAAUUUCAAAGCUUUAUUCUGUCUGCCUAAGAGAAUCAACCAAAGGUGAUUCUCCUAAAGAGCAGUGAAGGAAAUGUCGGGUUAGAAGGACCCAAGUUUUGGGUGUGAAAUGUUGCCAGCUUCCUAUAAUGUAAACUGACUUGUUAACCUAACCUAAUUAUGCUCAGUGGACUUAUCUAGAUGGUUUAAAAAAAAUGAACUGAGCUGCUUUCCCCCAUCCCAUAACCAGUUCCAUCAUCCUGGUGGAACUUGAACAUUUAGAGUUUAUCUAGAGAGCUUGGUUAAUUUUCCAUAUUAUUUGUAGUAUGUUCACAAAUGCUGUUCCCUCUUGGUCUCAUUCUGUGCAACCAAGUGCAUAUAAGAUGCCCUGAAAAGAGUAACAAAGUAUGCUUUGCCUGUUUCCCCUUACCAGGAAAUUCCUUCAGAACUAGAUUAGCAUUGACCUGCCCGUCUGAAAGGACAGUUUACCUAAUGGUGCCAGCCUCCUUUUGCUUUGACAAGCUGGAUUUCUCAGAGCCAGCAUGUUGUUUCCAUAACUACUUUGACAUUUUAACUCAGGUACCCCAGUCUUCACCCCAACCUCAGCUGAUUGUAGUACACCUGCUAGUUCUGUUGCCCCCUCAAAACUAGCACCCAGAGUAGGGCCACAAGGGUGAUUUUUUCUUUAAAAAAAAAAAUUAGAACCAAUUCAUGUUCAUGCCAAAAACAAAUUGUCCCCAAGCCUAUAUAUAUUAAAAUGUUAACUUUGCCUAAAAAUAUCGCAGUGACUUUUUAGGCAGGAGUGCCAAAGGACACUAUGAACUUUUUGAACUAACAGUUUCUCCUAACUUUCUGCUUUAGUAUAAUUGCUCAGAGUAGAGAGCCCCCACAAAGUUAUUUAAAAGAUGCCCUAGCCACAAUCCACCAGUUUUUCUAAGCUAGAACCUUUGAGUCCCCCAAACUGCCUGAAGACUUAAGUUUUGUGGACACUGAACGUCACUUUGAUAGAUGGAUUGAAACUGUUCCCAUUUGCCCUGGAACGGUUUCUAUCAAAGGAAGGUUUUCACCUGUAGAAAGCUCCCUGCGCUCCAGCCAAACAGUCCCAUGCUAACUUUCUGUCUUCCUUUCUCAGUGUCUUAGGAAGGACCUUCAGUGCAGAUCAGGUGCAGUAAUGGCUUUCUAGCCUUCUUGUCCCUUAAUUAUUCACCAGACCCAGAAGUUGUGUGCAUUUAAUGCUGUUUGUAACCAUGCAUCUGUUUUCAUUCUUUCUUGUACCUUUUGCUGCCCAUCCUGUUACUUUUGAGUUUCUUUCAUUGCGGUUGUUCUUGGGUUCUUUUGUCUUUUCAUAGCUCUUCUAUAACCUUGCUUUAAUGGCUUAACAGUUGUUCUGGGUGGAAACUUCGCCUCAUUUGAAUGCUCCUCUAAAAGAAAAGAAAAGAAAACUAUAUUCAUUCCCUUUAAAAUGAAACAUUCCUGGAUUAUUUUUCCAUGCCCCUAGCCUGGGUGAGUGAAGCUGGCUGUGUUGGCCUGGGUGACUGUUCAGGUUGUAGAAUGCGCAUUUUACAUUGUUUAUGAUAAUUGAAGGGUACUUCUCUCUGCUCCAAUUUCCAUUCCUUGGUAUACUCAGUAUGUCCUAGUAAGGAAGGCUUUCCACUCUACUGGCUCCUUAAGAAGCAAAAGUAGGUUAAAUUUUAAACUUCACUGACUAGGGUCUUCUUUCUCCCCUGUUCUAAAUGGAGUAAAAGUCUGAUGCCAAGACAAAUAUUGGGAGCGAGCCUUCCUCACUAGCCAUGUCCAAAUAAUGAGCAUAUUUUCACGUGGUCUUCACUGCAUUUGGUUUUGUUUCUGAUUUCAUGUUCCUUUAAGGUACAGUCAGAAGAAAAUGCUGAGUUCUGAGAGAGUUCCAAUGAGGAGCUGUCUUUCAGCUUUGGAAAAUAUGCAUCUAAAACAAAACCAAACAUUAUUGUAAUCUGACACAGGCAAAAUUAUGGUUCCCACACCCCAACCCCAAAUGAAACCUGGGAUUUUGAAUGUGGCUCUAAGCGUUAACAUUACUGUCUGUAUGUCGUGUAUGCUAGGUGAUAUCCUCAGUAGGGAUUGACUACUAGACUGUAAGUGUGUUUUAUCAAAGUGUGUAAGAAUAAAAACUCACUUGCACGAAUUGAAACGUAAAGAAAUGACACUUGUGAACGUGUGAACGUUAACACUGUAGUUGAUAGAUCUUAAGCUGCUAAUUGUUGAGAGAGAUUUAAAUUUAUGUUCUGUCUGGUCGCUGCAGAUUCUCAGCAGCACUUUUACUGUAUAUAGAAAUUGAAAUAAAGACCUCAGC